UGUUCAGCCAAAACGCACGCUCAGGACAAAAUGCGACAAAAAAAACUCCUUCACGGCGCCAUAAAAAACUCAUUAUGCGACACUUCAAUCUUGCGCCCACAACCAAGAAUUUCAGCAAACAAUUACGAAUUUGAAUUCACCCUCGACAAAGAAACAAGAAUGCAAUUGAAUCCACGUGGAAAUUCGACAUCAAAAUGCAAUUGUCAAAAUUAAAUUCGAAUCAAAGUUGUGCGUGAAAUAGCAACGAUUGUAGAUUGAAAACGUACCAGAUUCGUGCUUUGCGUGGAGGCGGAGAUGAAGACUCUUAAGUUCGAAUAUGUGUGUUGCAUCGUUUUGAUGAAGAGUGAAGACGAAGCUUGGUUCGGCUCCAUGCGUUGUGUUGCAAUGAAGAGUGAAAGUGGAGAUGCGCAACGAAUCGUGGUAUUGUGAUGAUGAAGAGUUCGUGAUGAUGAAUGAAAAAGUGAAGGUACCAAACUCUUUUUGAAACUUUGUUUGCUCUUCUCCGCCUAUAAUUUUCGUUUUUAUGAUCGUGUUACUCGGUUGUUAUGAGGGUUGAAAAAGUUGUUAGUUGGUUCAGGAAAUUGGAGGUGGUUGGAGAGUUCUUGAAGUGUUUGUUAAGGGUUCUGAAGGUGAAAGUUAGAAGUUGGAGGUAUCAAGGUUCAGGUGAAUUUAGCUAUGUUGGAAUGAAGGGAAGGUUAGAGAGGAGGUUGGAUUUCUGUUAUCGUUUUGUGAAGUCAAGUUGGGGAUAUUUGUGCCAUUCGGUUCAGGAGGUUGGGAUUUUGGAAUUCAAUUUUGAGUUGUUGGAGGGAAGUUGAGAAUUGGUUAGGGAAGGUUUUUUUGGGUAGCAAGGUGAUUGUGUUAUCAAUUGGAGGUUGAAGGUGUUCUUGGGAGAAGUCUUGUUGAAGGUUCAGUUAGUUUUUGACCGGUUAGUUCAAGAGGGUUUGCCCGUUAUAUUAAUGGUUAUGUUUUCCCAUUUUAUGCAGGUUUUUUUGGUGGUUUGUGCAGGUUAGAAGAGAUUUUCAUGUCUGUAUUCGUUUCUGUUUUUGAUUCCCGUUUUCAAGUCUGAUGUGGUGGGCUCUAGAGGUUAGGAUUCAGUUCGAAUGUGGAGGCUUUGGAGGUUAGGCUUUUUAUUCUGAUGUGUUAUCUUAGGAGUUGUUACCAGUUAGAGAGUUUUUUAGCAGGGUUAUGUUAUGACAAGUAAAUCAGUUAGGUUUGCUUUUGUUUCAGUUAGGAUGAGUUGAGAGGUAGUUAAAAAAAUGGUUUGGAGCAAGAGAAGUUAGCAGUUGUCAAAGUAAGUUGGCGAAAAAUGAAGAUAGUAGUUAGUUGCUAAUGUGACUUCGGUUUACUUCUUAUCCUCUUAUACUUGCCCUCUAUUUAACUCAUCAGAUUUGGACAGGUUGGACAACUACACAUUCGACUAUUGGAGCGAUCAAUGCCACAAGAGUCCAAGACUUUCAGUUAUUUUUUUAUUCAAAUUAUGCAUUGUGAUGUUACGUACAAGAAUUAGGGAUUUUGUGUGGUUAUAAUGUAUGAAAGUAUUGGAAGAUGAAUUAGAAUGUAUUUAUGUAUGUAAUUGGAAUUGAAUGGUUAUAUGAUGGUUGUUAUAUGAAAUUGGAAUUUUGGAACUUGGAAUUGUAAUAGUGUGAAUUGGAAUGGAAAUUAGCAAAACUUGAAUUGAAUGUAUGGUUAUGUAUUGAAUAAUGGUUUAAUGGAAAUUAAUGGUUUAUGCUUUUGGAAUUGUA
rnacentral:lncRNA from 1 species